rnacentral:rRNA from 1 species
UACGUAGGGGGCGAGCGUUGUCCGGAAUUACUGGGCGUAAAGGGUGCGUAGGCGGCCCUUUAAGUCGGAUGUGAAAGCCCGCGGCUUAACCGCGGAAUGGCAUUCGAAACUGGAGGGCUUGAGUGUCGGAGAGGGUAGUGGAAUUCCCAGUGUAGCGGUGAAAUGCGUAGAUAUUGGGAGGAACACCAGUGGCGAAGGCGACUACCUGGACGAUAACUGACGCUGAGGCACGAAAGCUAGGGGAGCAAAC